CAAAAAACCCGCGUCUUCUGAACAACUCCGCACGAAUGCUUCAAGAGAUGUAACACCCCCACCUCCUCCCCGCGUUAUUCAAAAGAUGCACCCGGUGGAAGAAAGGAUGAGCCCGGAGAUGGUCAGGCCCUGAACUGGAGACUGUGGCGGCUGAACUCGUGGUCAACGCCCGCCCGCCGCCUGGCGGGGAGGCUGGUGCUCUACGGCCUGGAUUUACAGCAAUCUGUAUUUUUUUUAAUUUUCGUGCACCCCGAUACAACCUCCGGUUUCCUUCUAGUUCUCAAAAAUGUGCCGGUAGGUUAAAUUAAUACUGUAAAUAAAUUUACUGCAAGUAAAUAAAUACCCAGUGUAAAUAAAUAGCAAGUGUCAAGAAGAACCACAGGAAAAAAAGAGACGGGAUGGGUCUGAAGGAGUGUGCUGCAAGAAACCAUUAUGGUCCGGAUGGGCUGAAUGAAGUCCUUCUACACUUAGCUGCACUCUCCAAAGUUUUCCAAAUCCUCCAAGUAUCUUUCUCCUUUGAAAAUUAAAGAUUUCUACAAGCAUCAAGAAAACUCAUGAAUUGGGUUUCAAAUAGAUCAAGAUAACUAACACCAAUAG